UACGAAGGGGGCUAGCGUUGCUCGGAAUCACUGGGCGUAAAGCGCACGUAGGCGGAUUGUUAAGUCAGGGGUGAAAUCCUGGAGCUCAACUCCAGAACUGCCCUUGAUACUGAAGGUCUUGAGUUCGGGAGAGGUGAGUGGAACUGCGAGUGUAGAGGUGAAAUUCGUAGAUAUUCGCAAGAACACCAGUGGCGAAGGCGGCUCACUGGCCCGAUACUGACGCUGAGGCACGAAAGCGUGGGGAGCAAACAGG
rnacentral:rRNA from 1 species